rnacentral:rRNA from 1 species
CUACGGGAUGCUCCAGUGGGGAAUAUUGCACAAUGGAGGAAACUCUGAUGCAGCAACGCCGCGUGGAGGAUGACACUUUUCGGAGCGUAAACUCCUUUUAUAUAGGAAGAAGAUGACGGUACUAUAUGAAUAAGCGCCGGCUAACUCCGUGCCAGCAGCCGCGGUAAUACGGAGGGCGCAAGCGUUACUCGGAAUCACUGGGCGUAAAGAGCGUGUAGGCGGAUUAAAAAGUCAGAAGUGAAAUCCUAUAGCUUAACUAUAGAACUGCUUCUGAAACUCUCAAUCUAGAAUAUGGGAGAGGUAGAUGGAAUUUCUGGUGUAGGGGUAAAAUCCGUAGAGAUCAGAAGGAAUACCGAUUGCGAAGGCGAUCUACUAGAACAUUAUUGACGCUGAGACGCGAAAGCGUGGGGAGCAAACAGGAUUAGAUACCCGUGUAGUC